ACUCUAGACAGGUGACUUAUGGGAGC
rnacentral:piRNA from 1 species